AUACGUAGGGGGCAAGCGUUAUCCGGAUUUACUGGGUGUAAAGGGAGCGUAGGCGGCAAGGCAAGUCUGAUGUGAAAGCCCGGGGCUCAACCCCGGGACUGCAUUGGAAACUGUGGGACUUGAGUGUCGGAGGGGCAAGUGGAAUUCCUAGUGUAGCGGUGAAAUGCGUAGAUAUUAGGAGGAACACCAGUGGCGAAGGCGGCUUGCUGGACGACAACUGACGCUGAGGCUCGAAAGCGUGGGGAGC
rnacentral:rRNA from 1 species